rnacentral:rRNA from 1 species
GCUUCUCUGAUGUUAGCGGCGGCACGGGUGAGUAACACGUGGGUAACCUACCUAUAAGUACUGGGAUAACUCCGGGAAACCGGGGCUAAUACCGGAUAAUAUAUUGAACCGCAUGGUUCAAUGUUGAAAGACGGUUUCGGCUGUCACUUAUAGAUGGACCCGCGCCGUAUUAGCUAGUUGGUAAGGUAACGGCUUACCAAGGCAACGAUACGUAGCCGACCUGAGAGGGUGAUCGGCCACACUGGAACUGAGACACGGUCCAGACUCCUACGGGAGGCAGCAGUAGGGAAUCUUCCGCAAUGGGCGAAAGCCUGACGGAGCAACGCCGCGUGAGUGAUGAAGGUCUUAGGAUCGUAAAACUCUGUUGUUAGGGAAGAACAAAUUUGUUAGUAACUGAACAAGUCUUGACGGUACCUAACCAGAAAGCCACGGCUAACUACGUGCCAGCAGCCGCGGUAAUACGUAGGUGGCAAGCGUUAUCCGGAAUUAUUGGGCGUAAAGCGCGCGUAGGCGGUUUCUUAAGUCUGAUGUGAAAGCCCACGGCUCAACCGUGGAGGGUCAUUGGAAACUGGGGAACUUGAGUGCAGAAGAGGAGAGUGGAAUUCCAUGUGUAGCGGUGAAAUGCGCAGAGAUAUGGAGGAACACCAGUGG